GCAUGGCGGAAGAUCAGCUCCCCAUCCUCCACGCUGCAGGUCAGGAACUUGUUGCAGGCAAUGUCCAGGAGGGGCAGGCGGUCACGGCAGAAGCGGUCCCCCAGGGAGCCCUUGGGGGCCAGCACCAGGAUGGCGUAGUGCUGAAGAAGACGCCGUGGAGCAUGCCACUGGUUGGAGAGCCAUGGCUGCCGCUGUUGUCCUUCAGGUAGGGCUGCAGCAUGUUCCCGCAGUGGGUCCUAACCACCCCCGGGGAAAAAUGCCAAAGGGAAGAGAAAAUGCCGCUGGUUAGCUGGGCUGAGGCUUGGCUGCUGUGUGUGGUUGAGAAGGGAGCCAGCGCAGCACCCCGCUCUCCCACCCGCUGCCGCCUCCAUCAGUCACAAAUAGAACAUUCCAGAAUGUGAGAGCAGGGAGAGCCCUGGAGAUGGGCUGAUGCAGCCCACUCCUUCGCAGAGGAGAUGUCUGAACCUACCACUCCCCAGUUUAAAACCCUUUAAUGGGGCUUUCAUGAAAAGCAGGGCUAUCACGAUCUGUCCUUUCUAACCCCACCUCCCAACACCCCCACAUCCAUAGGUAAGAUCCUCCAGCCACAUGUGAACCCCAACUUUCCUGCCUUUGUGCCUUUGCAGUGCUCUUCCCUCUGCCUGGACUGCCUUUCCCACCUCCUUUCACCUACCCUGGCAAAUUCCUAAUCAUCCAUCAAGGCCCAGCAUAGGUAUCCCCUGCUCUCAAAAUCUUCCAGGAGCAUCAGGCAUUUGUAUUCAACAAAACCAUGUGCAGACACUGAAUUAUACUCAACAAUCACACACACACUCAUUACAUUCCAUCUGUCUGUACUGUCCCCCCAAUAGACUCUGAGGUUUUCAAGAGGGGGCACUCUGCCUUUAUUCACCUUUAUAUCCUAGCACAUAUGGGUGCUUUCUGACUCUUUCUUACUUGCUGAAAGAGGAGCUCAAACUGGGCCAGUGAGCUCACCACACACCUCACUGCCUCUCUUCUUUAGUACAAACACCAAAGAUCUCCCUUGUUCCCUGCUGCCCUGGGGUAGGGUCAGAACGCCCCACCCCGGCUGAAUGCAAUGACAAAGACAGUAAGAGUAGCAGCUUGCCCUAGUCCAGCCUUAGAAGGACAAUGUCUUGGAGCAGUGUCAGCAGGCCUGGGGAGGAUGGGCAGCCCCAGACCCAGCCUCACCCUUGCCUGGUCCUGGAAGUCUCAAGUAACUAGUGACUUACUGGCUUUCUGGGCUUCAGGCUCUCCAUCUAUAGGCUGAGUGGGUUGGACCAGAUCAUCAAUUAGAUUGAAUAUUUCUGGACUACAGAGCCCCUCUCUUUCUUCCCCGAAGGAAAUUAUACAUAGGCGGUCCAUAGGCAAUAAAAUUGAAGAUGCUCCCGCUGAAUGAUAGGUGUGGGGCCCACCAAGACUCAGCCUGAUUUCUUCAACAACCCAUCAGUACCCCCCUCUCCCCCCACCACAAAGUGCCCUGAGAUAGCUUCCUGGAGCCUCCAGGCUAUCCAGCACACAGUUUGAAAACAAUGACCCUUCAUGCAUGGAAACCUGUCGCUCUGUGCUACCCUCACCACCUCCCCCAGGGACCCAGGGCUUGAACUGGAGAGAUGGCUGACCCUUGGCAUUAGAACCCAGUGAAAGGAACUGUCCCAAAGGAGGAACAAACCCGAGAUCUCGUUCACCCAGGCCAGUUAGCAUGGUUCCCCCAGGCAGCCCCAUCCCAAGGAGAGUCCUCUCCUUCCUUGGAGCCCAAUCCCAAACAGCCAGCCACCCCCCCAGAGCCAGCCUGUGAUAAGAUGCCAUGGGGACUCUGGUCUGGCAAUGACAAGGUGGGGGUGAUGUCAGACAGCCAGGGCUGUGUGGGCAAAGCAGAGCCAGGGGAGGAAGGAGAGACCCAGGCCCUGCUAGGGGCCAUGCUGUACCUGGCAUGCUGGAAGUACUCCUUGUGGUGGUUGCGGUAGAAGACAGAGAAGCGGAGCAUGCGGCCUGCGAUCUGUUCAGCCUUCUCCUGCAGCUGGGCCAGGUGUUCCUUGGCAUAGUCUGCAAGAGUCCAGGCUGGUAAGCCCAGGGCCAGACUGAGCAUCACAGCCUCCCACACUCACCCACUGUGCACAUUGAACACCAGCCCACAACUGUCCUCAGAGCAACAGGGGAUACCAAAGAGUUACAGCACCUUGGACCACAUAGGAACAGGCCAGGUGGCCCAGCUGGGAACAUGGACAGCUGGGUGCACCUCUGCACCCUUGCUGCCAGAGGCUCAGGGCUCUGAGUCAGAAAGGGGCAGGGGCUGCCCAGUUAGACAAUCACGCUGGGGACCCCAGGAGCUGUAAUCACUAGCUAUCCUCAUGUGAAGAGGACCAGCAAGCAAAGGAAGGAUUGAGAGGGGAGAAUUUGAGGUCCUCUAGGGAGAACUCAAACCCAGCAGGCAAAAGGCUGUGGAAGCCAGUGGUAAUUACAGGUGGGGGCUCAUGAGGAGAUCACAGAGCACUGAAGUGAAUGGUUAGCCGGACUAGGGUCUGAGGCAGUGAGUGCAUCUGCACCCCAGGAGAAGCAGGGAAGGCUGGAAACAGGAUGGUAAGAUUGGACACCUCCCAGGGCCAGGAUCAGAGUCUGGGGCCCUGGGGCCCAGGCAGGGCAGCUGCUAGCCAAGACAGAGCCUUUGUACAAAUUAGAAAAAGGUGCCCUUUCCUCCUUGCUGAUGUAGCCCUGGCCAGGGUGCUGGGUUUGGCAAGAGUAGUGUGGACUGGACUGCAGCCAUCCCCAACUCCCCAGUUUGAAUUAAACUUCCACCACGUGUGGAGUUCUGGGGUAAACCCAGAGGCUUUCCCCACAAGGAGUGGGAGCACCUCCAGAGAGUGGGGUUUUGCAGCCGAGCUAAGAAAAAGCACCACUCAAAAGAGAAUGGCAUGUCAAGGAGACUUGGGGCAUAGGCCUUGGCAGAGGAUGGGACCAGCAGCUUCAGAGGCCCGGGGCUAAGAAUGUUCCCUGCCCCUUCCUUGUGACAGAGAGAGAUCUGGAGCAAUUCUCACUGUGGACACCAAAGGAAUGGAAUAUUGUGGGGCAGAUCGUGGGUCAUCCACGACCAAGUACACAUAAGCCUGGUGUUUGUUCAUGCUGGAAUUUGCCAACUGAAUUCUGCUAAGAGGUUUGCAGGACCACCAAACAGGGGUCAUUUUCCAGGCUAAGUGGAGCCUCAAGACAAGCAAAUGUGAUGACCUACUAAGUAUCCAUCUACCGACGAUGGAUGAACAAUGUGUAGUCCGCACAUACAAUUGUUCAGCCUUGUAGAGGAAGGACGUUUUGACAUAUGCUCAACGUGGAUGAAUCUUGGGGACAUUAUGCUGAGCAAAAUAAGCCAAUUGCAGAAGGACAAAUACUGUGAUUCCCCUCACGUGAAGUACCAACAGUAGUCAAAUUUACAGACCCAGAAAGUGGAAUGGUGGUUGCCAGGGACUGGAGUGAGGAGGGAAGGGAGAGCUGCUGUUUAAUGGGGUUAGAGUUUCGGUUUGGGAAGUUGAAAUAGUUCUGGAGGUCAGUGGCAGCACACGAGUGUGAACGUACUUAAUACUACUGAGCUAUACAUUUUAACAAUGGUUAAAAUGGGAAAUUUUGUGUUGGUGUGCAUUUUACUACAGUUCAGAAAAAUAUGCUUGCCCCAAGCCAGAAAAGUAGUUCCAUGCCUGUACGGGAAUGGUAUUGUCAACAUGAUUAGCAGGGCUCACGUCUGCCUCCUGUGUCAGACUGCAGGUUUGUUGCAGGCAGGGGCGAGGCACAUCCAUGAGUAUCUCCCUGACAGCCUGAGCAUAGAGCCUGUAUACAGCAGGUGUUCCUAAGUGUGUGCUGGGGUAAGAUCACAACUAAGCCAGAUGUGCUAAAGCAGCAGGACAGCAGGGCCUCACCCCCAGUGCAGAACUCGACUGUCUCGCUCCAGCCGGACACCAGGUAUUCUCCAUCACUCUGCUUUACGGCGGUCUGCACAGCUACGCUGUACUCUGUGCGGGGGCUCAGGAACCAGUGGCCUCUCACUGUCAUGGGCAGUGGCACGGCCUUGGCCACAAGCUUGGUGGGGACAUCCUGAGAAAUGGGAUACAGACGGAGAGCCAAGAGUCAAACUGGGAGUCACGUCCAAUCUUGGCAUUCUGCCAGACCUCACACUCCCCAGAUGGCACCUGGGCCACCUGAGGAGGGCCAAAGUCUCCAAGAUUCAAUGGCUUGGUGCCCUGGCCACCAUUUUCCUGAGGAAGGAAGCAGUGGCCAUUGGGAAGGCCAUAUUGAUAGCCCCCAGCCUCCACCCCUCAUCAUGCCCCCUGACACCCACUCUCUUGGGAACUAGGGAGAAAGGCCACUGGGGUGGAGGCUGAAAAGUUGAGGGCGGUGAGACCUCCGUUUUCGAGGGAGACUUCGAGAGCUCUGCACACUGCAGUGCCGUCUCCACGGCAACGGCAAAUGCUGAGAGCCAGGGAGGAAGGGAAAAUAUCCUUAUUCUUUGGGGGGGAGGGUUAAGGGGGUGGUGUUGAACAUUCACGUCACCGUGGCAACUGGCCUGCCAAAAGACACCCAGAUCGGGAGAGCCAGUUCCAAAGAGAGAGAGGGUGAGUAACCCACAUGAUACGGUCGUCGUGGGAACCAGCUCCUUCCCACCUCACUCUUCCCCCUUCAUCUCUGCCAGCUUGAGAAGGUGGGAGCCUUCCUCCCGCCCACCCCCACACUGCUCUGACCCAGGGAAAGGACACUCCAGCCAGCGGAGGACUCUCAUGUUUCUUUCCUAAACCCAGCCACACCACUAAGCCAGAGGGCCAGGGCCAGAGAGGAUCACAGGGGCCUAAGAGGCGUCCUUGAGGACCAAGCAAAGGGCCCCACCCCUGCCCAUGGCCCGAGUGGCCCACACAGUUAACAACAAAGCUCCUUCCUGAGUCGGGGGCUUUGUGGGAUCCUGAGACACCAGCCCCAGGUGUGAUGUCUGUGCCCCCCACACACACCCCCACACCCCCGCCCCUCCCCCUGCCCAGGUUUUCCUGAUCCGUCUGAAGCCCAGUCAUGAUGCCGAUAACGGUGUCCAUGGUGGCUGGGCCCCAAGCCAGACACCACGCAAACAUUACCUCACCAAAGCCUCUCACAAGCCUGCGGGGGCUGGCAUUGUUAUUCCCUUUUUACCAGUGAAGGAACUUGGGCUCAGAGAGGCUAAAGAACUUUCCUAAGAUUACACAGGGUAAUCUGAACCAGGCUUCUCUGACUCCCGACGAUCACCCACAAGCAUUCCAUCACCCUGCUCCCUUUAAGGAGGGGUGUAAACAAGAGGCCCUCUGCACACCCUCCACUCACCCGGUGCUUGAACUUGUUGGAGUUCUUAUUCUCCUUCUUGUUAAGGUCAAUGAAGUAAUGGGUGACCCUCUCCAGGUCACUGUUCUCCAUGGCCCAGGAGAUGCGGAAGGAGUCACAGGUGAUGUUGUUGACCUCGAUGCUGUGGGGCGUGGACAGCAGCUCCAUGCUCCCCUGUGGCUUGGCUCCUUUGGGGACUGAUGGGAGAGGAAGAAUUAGCAGCUUCCUCCCUGCCACCGAAUUUUCUGGAAUGUCUUGCUCCCAGCAUCUCUUGCAAAUUGGAACCUUGGGGAUAAUCCACUGAUUACACCUGCCUCAUCCAAUCUGAUGGGAAGAUUGCAUGGGAAGAUUGCAUGGUGGAGGGGCAUCUGUGUGGUAAUAAUAACUGCAUAAGCAUCAUAUCGUGCAAACCUCACAAUAGGUAUAAAAGGACCAUAGCACUGUCACUCACCUGUGCUUUUGCUAGGAAGAUCUGACCCUGUCCUUGACUGUGGCCUGGCUCAUGAGGUCUGGGAAACAGGGUGGGGAAGGGAGAGGGAGUGGGGAGAGACUGUCUCUGGGACAAGAACAUGAAUGUGGGUUGGACUUGCUCCCGGGCAUUUGCUUAGUGCCCAGUGAAGCUCAUGCUUUCCUGGUUCUUUCUCAAGCCCCGUCCAAGCACACCUCAGCUUUCUGGAAUGUGGUUUCCUUUUCUCCCCUUCUGCUUCUUCUCUUCUCUUUGCCCAGGUGCUAAGGGUAAGGGUACCUUGUGCCUUCGAAAGCAGGUACUUCUAUUUAUAGCUUCCAGAAGAUCCAACCCACACUCUCCUGUCAAUUAAGCCUGUUGUGGAGCCUGAUACCUCUAAAUUCAUCCGUGGGCUGCCUGAGUGGCAGGCACAGGGUGAAGGAUAUGGGUGAUGGCUUUUACCUAUUCCAGGGUGUCCCCUGAGCCCUUGUUUCAUUUGAGCUUCUUACCCUAAAGCGUGAGCCUGCCUGUUGUGAAGUCCAGCCAAAUGCCGGUGGCUUGUGCACAGAGAAUCCUACGGUAAAUAAGCAUGGGGGUGCUACCAGGUCCACCCAAAAAUAAAACAGAAUAGGAUUGGUAAACAACUGGAUGAUAAUAAACCAGUUUGCAAUUCAUGGGGACAGAUGUGGAGAUGUGGGGAGUUGCUAUCCUCUGGGCUCCCUGUGAGAAGCUCCCCAGGGAGACACACGCAUGCACCCACAUGCACCCACAUACACACACACACACACACACACACACACACAUGCACCAACACAACACACCAACACAGACACAAUCCCACGCUAGAAAGGGCCUGAGCCACCACCUCCCAUCCACAGGGGAUUCAGUCUAUGCCUACCCCACAUGUGGACACCUAUUCCUCAAUACUCCUCUCUUCAGAGUCUCCUCCAGAGACGGGGCAGCCAUCUUUGCAAGGGGGGGGGUGCAUCUCCAGGACCUGGCUCAUCCUUUCUUUCUACAGUUCUAGAAAAGCUGAGAUUACUCCCCCAUGCUAGUUUGGGAGAGUGGUCGUGAGUGACACUCGGGAGAACAGCAAAGCCAGGGUGGACCAAGGGUGGGUGUGAGCCCCAGUUCUCCAAGUCCAAGUGACUGGGGAAGGUCGGGCUGUGAGGGACAGGUUGAGACAGGACCUGAGAAACACCCACACUGCCAAGACAAGCAUUUACACACCCACACACAGGUAAGCACAUGUGUGCGUGCACACGUAUACACACACGCACACAUACACUGAAUGUGCCUGCCCACACCUGCCACACACGGGCUGCACACGCCUCCUCGGACAUUCUCGGACCCACUCACUCACCUACGCACUCGGGUGCCUCCGCCACGUUCCACAUUCUAAGAAUGUCCCACAGUUUCCCCUCUACAUGCUGUCACCUCCACACAGACCCACACAUGUUCAAGUUCAUAGGCUCACGCACACACAUAUACAGGCACACAUUCUCACAAGCUAUAUUUGGGGGGAAGAGAAAGCCACAGGCGCAUCCUACCUCCACAGAAGGCAUACAAUCCAUAUGCCUGCUUGCACACACAUGUGUAUUCACACGCACGUCAACCUCUGCCCAUAUUCUGAUAUUCUCUCUCAAGUCUUCCCCAGGCUCAAAGACCACAGCUAUGGAAAUGUGGUUUGUCUCUAGCCACACUCUGCCAGCCCUGAUCCUUCCCGUGCCAACAGGUUUGCACACCUAUGAGGGGCUGCCCACAGACAGUGGCUUCUGCCCACACUCUCCACCUACCUAUCCCUUUCUGCUCUGGAGUCACCCCUCCCCACAUAGAAAUGCUUUGGUUGCACGCAUUCCUUCCCUCACCAUGUACUCCCACACACAUGACAAGUGAUAUGUCCACCCCAUAAAUAUACUGCCUCACACUGCCCCCGCCCACAUAACCCAAAGGCUACUCAGAUAAGUGACCCCCCCACACACACGUACCUCACAUGUACAAGAAACGUAUGUUCCUAAACAUGCCACACAGCUGUGGAGACCCACACAUGAGCACAGGCGUGUACAUACAGAACUAUCUGCGCAAGCAAACCUCCAGGCUCCUUGCAAGCAUGCAUACAUGCCGUGCACACGGAUACCCCUUGCCCAUGCCCAUCCAGAAAAGCCACCCACAAGCCAGAGGGAAGUCUCUCUCCACCCCACUGUCCCUGUUGGCAUCGCUGACUGCAGCAGAAUGGUCACGGGGUGACUGUGGUGCCCCGGGGACUGGAUCCGGGGGUUAACCUCUUUGCCAAGGCCCUGGGGAACAGGGGACAAGGUCGUUGGCCCUGGCAAUCCAGGUGGGUACCAUGGGCAGUGGCAGGCCCCUGGUGCCCCCACCUCCUAGCCCCUUGCCACCUGAGUCCCUCUCAGAAUUGACAGCAGGAUGCUCUGGGGAGAAAGGGCACUCACCUGGCUCCACUGGGCUCUGCAGAGGAAGACCUGGAAGGGAGGGAAGGGAGAGACCUCUGUGUGGAUGUGCUCCCCAGGGAGAGGGGCAGCAGCGACGCCUGGGUCACAGACAGAGGCGCGCUCGCUCUCCUCUCGCUCCUCUCGAGGCUGCCAAAGAGGCUUCUUCCAUGCCCCGGCAGGCAGCUCCUGCCGGCUCUGCAGCGCACUGCUGCUGCCCCCAGAGAGGCGAUAUUCCCAGCCGAGCGCAAGGAGAGGCAAGAGCGAAAUCAAAGCAGCGUGGAGGAGAGAGAGAGAGGCAGAGAAGGCGAGAAAGAACGAGAGAGCCAGACUGAAUCUGGCUCCACCAAUGGGAUCAGUGGCUGCCCAGCGUCAGGACAAGCUGCCCUCAGAAGAAGUCCCUCUAACACACCCCUACUUGGAAAUCUCUCACUUGAAUGCAGCCCCCAAACUUUAGGAGGCUUUGCUACCACCAAAGGAAAACUCCAGGGAUGCCACUGUGAAGAACACUCAAGGAAAUUUGAAUCAAGCAACCAACAGUGACAAAGAGUGUGCAGUGUGGAAAAGCUGGGCUUUACAAUUAAACAGAUACAAUUAAAAUUCUUGUUCUCUCACUUUCUAGCUGAGUGAUCUUGGACUAGUUACUCAAUCUCUCAGAGCUUUGAUUUCUUCAUCUGUCAAGUGACAUUAUAAACACUGCCAUCACUGAGUGAGAAAUUAUGUAAAUCACUAAACUGUGGGCCUGUACACCAGAAGGGCCCAGUCACCUAUCAGAACUGUUAUCAUUGCCAUCAUUAUUGACAAUGUCUGCCUGUAAGGAGCCCACAGUCUUUUAGGGGGAAAAGGGUGGACAUAGAGAACAAGAAAUAUACAACUAAGUUGCAAGGUACAGAUAAGGAUUCAGAGAAGAAGAAGUCUUGAACCAGCUUGAAUACAGGUGGAGCAUGGCCAAGAGGGGACCAUGGAAGCAGGAGCAUGGUGGGGGUGGGGAGGGCUUGGUGCAGGGGCAGCAGACAGAUCAUGCAGGCUUCAGAGUGCCACAGAAGACAUGAGCUGAGUGCACAGGACCCGGGGGCUGCGGACAUCAGCAGGCGGUAAAGGUUAGAGAAGGUGACAGUGGACAGAAUGUGAAUAUUGCACAGAAAGCAAAGACAAGCAGAAGCCAAUCCUUCCCUAAAUGGGUGUGGAGAAUUUGAGCAAGUUGGGUCAGAUCCUGAACCACAGAAUUCAGUGCCGUGUGUUACACUGAGACAGGAUUAAGCACUCCCUUCGCCAAACAGAGGUAGGUCCCGCCCCAUGCACACCUACACUGAAAUGUUGCAAUCCCGAAGAGAUGCAAAACGUAAUCUCAUGGUUAUGGCCAGCACCAAACAUCUGGACCAAAACCUGGCCCUACAGCUAACCUGAGAGGCGGUGUGAGGAAAAGUCAUGUUCUCUAUGACUCGGUUCUCCCCUUAAAAGGAAGAUGAGUCCCAGCACACCUCUGCCUCCCACCUUCCCGGGAUGGCAUGUGGAGACCGCGUGAGAUCAUGUGUCCCAAGCGUGAACAACAGGCAUAUGAAUGCGCUUUUGUGGAGCUAUGUGCUAGCAUCAGGUGGAGGCACAAAGCCUCUCAGGGCUUCUGCUUCUUCUUGCCUCUGAGGACUUCUCUGCAGAUCACAUGAGAAAACACAUGGUAAGAAUGAAGCUUAACAAGCCAAAUAUAAGUAACUCUGUAUGAAACCAAACAACCACCAAAAUGCACUUUUGCUGCAUUUUUAUUUUUAACAACUUUUUAUUACACAAGUAAUACA